AACGAACGCUGGCGGCAUGCCUAACACAUGCAAGUCGAACGAGACCUUCGGGUCUAGUGGCGCACGGGUGCGUAACGCGUGGGAACCUGCCCUUAGGUUCGGAAUAACUCCCCGAAAGGGGUGCUAAUACCGGAUAAUGUCUUCGGACCAAAGAUUUAUCGCCUUUGGAUGGGCCCGCGUUGGAUUAGCUAGUUGGUAGGGUAAAAGCCUACCAAGGCGACGAUCCAUAGCUGGUCUGAGAGGAUGAUCAGCCACACUGGGACUGAGACACGGCCCAGACUCCUACGAGAAGCAGCAGUGGGGAAUAUUGGACAAUGGGCGAAAGCCUGAUCCAGCAAUGCCGCGUGAGUGAUGAAGGCCUUAGGGUUGUAAAGCUCUUUUACCCGGGAUGAUAAUGACAGUACCGGGAUAAUAAGCUCCGGCUAACUCCGUG
rnacentral:rRNA from 1 species